AAUAGAUACCCUGGUAGUCCACGCCGUAAACGAUGGAUGCUAGCUGUUAUGAGUAUCGACCCUUGUAGUAGCGAAGCUAACGCGUUAAGCAUCCCGCCUGUGGAGUACGAGCGCAAGCUUAAAACAUAAAGGAAUUGACGGGGACCCGCACAAGCGGUGGAGCGUGUUGUUUAAUUCGAUGAUAAGCGAAGAACCUUACCAAGGCUUGACAUCCCUGGAAGGUCUCCGAAAGGAGACUGUGCCUUCGGGAAUCAGGUGACAGGUGAUGCAUGGCCGUCGUCAGCUCGUGUCGUGAGAUGUUUGGUUAAGUCCAUCAACGAGCGCAACCCUUAUAAAUAGUUGAAUUUUUCUAUUUAGACUGCCUCGGUAACGGGGAGGAAGGAGGGGAUGACGUCAGGUCAGUAUUUCCCUUAUGCCUUGGGCUACAAACACGCUACAAUGGCCGGUACAAAGGGCAGCCAACCCGGCGAGGGGGAGCAAAUCCCAUCAAAACCGGUCCCAGUUCGGAUAGCAGGCUGAAACUCGCCUGCUUGAAGUCGGAAUCG
rnacentral:rRNA from 1 species